UAAUAAAAAGUAAAUUUAAUCUGCAGAAACUAUUUUAAGGCUUUGUUCUAAUCUGAUAAAUGUGAAUGUAUUAAAAUGUUGAUUUAUAUUUAAACAGGUGAACAUUUGGUUGGACCAUUUGACGAGUGUUUCUGCCAACAGAAAACGGGGCAAGGCGAAAGCGUCCGUGACACGGUCUUUGAAAAAGGUUCAAGCUUCUAUCCAGGCCCAAGCUCCUAUCAAGGUUCAAGCUCCUAUAUAUCCCGACUCAAGCUCCCAUCCAGGCUCCUGCUCCUAUCCAGGCUCUUGAGGAAAGUGCACCAGAUUAAAAAACAAUGUGGAAGUGUCCAGGUUUGGCCGCAGGAGGAGGAAGAAUGUCCUUUUUAAUGACUUUUUGUGUUAAAUGUUAAAAUAAAAUAAGAAGUUAAAGUGUUGUAAGUUUUUAGCUCAUCUGAGCUGUGAGCACGAAGCUAUUGUAAUCGGUGAAUGUCUGUCUUCGCAAAUCUGGUGUCCUCAACUUUUAGUGUUUUAACACUCUAAGAGGCCACAGAUAUGGUUCAAUUAUAAUUAAGCUUAGUCAGCAUGCUUACCAUCCCUACAGAAACUGGGUCAUGUGGAGUCAGAAACUAUGUUAGUAGGUUUAUUUUGUAGCUAAACUAUAAAUGUAAAAUAUUAAAGAGCUUAUACGAUCGAUUGUGUGUCCGUGUCCGCAAUGGUUUUUUAAGUCAUACAUUCUAUUCUAUGAAAGAUAUUCAAUUAAAACUAAGUACGGUAUUUAGUGGGACUACCACUACCAUACUAAGAAGGCCUUUAACCUGGAUGCAUUAUUUUCAGAAUUAUGCCCCUUUAUUACUUGAAAAUACCCAUUUUAUCUUCAAAGUCUAAUUAUUUGAAUACUAUCAAAGUUAUUAAACUACAAUUGAUACAUAUAUACUCAUUGGGAGUGACUAUACCUACCUUACUUCAGAGGCCCAUUAAUCUGGACUCAUUAUUUUCCUAAUCAUAAGCCUUUGUACUUAUAUUCUUCAUUGUUUUUCUGAUAACAGUUUUAUUUAUUGAUUGAUCUCUUAGAUAUUUACCCUCUCCCCUACCCCCGGGGCAUUUGAUGCACCAAGCAGGCUCAAGGGUGGGGAUUUAGACAAAAUUGGUUGUCUCUAGGGUGGGGAUUUAGACUUCAAACAUUUUAAGAUGUCAAAUUCCCCUGGGUCAGCCCGCCGCCCCCGGGCGGGCAAAAUAUUGAUAGGUGCAUUAUGCUUACUGUCAACUGCUUAGUGCGUACUGUAACAUGCGACUAUAAUAUCGCUAUCGUUGUCAUCUUCGUUGUCGAUGCGCAGUGAUCAUGUAUUGCAUUAUAUUUGUAAUCAGUGAAUAUAUUGAAACAUUUGAAUGCUAAGACAGAUCGAAUUCGCCAAGUAUUGCUCAAAAUCAAUUAUUAAUUGUGAAAUAGUGUCGACAAUGUAAGUGGCAGAUUUAUAACAAAUUAAAGGUACCGUCAGGAACUUGCCAUUUUACAUCUAGUUAUAUCAAGAACAAGCAAAGAAUGUUCUUUUAAACACCGAACAUAAUACGCUGUUCUAAAUAAAAGAUGAAAAUAAACAUAAAGCAUAUUAAAAUAUGUGAGUUUGAUGGUUCAGAAAGGAACACAUGAAGUUGCAAUUACAUAAUAGUGCAUAAAGUCAUCAUAAUGCAAGAUUGUAUUCGGCA